GCUCUGAAGACGGGGAGAGUGAAGGUCUGAAGGGUAACAGACGGGAUGGAAGUUUCAGAGAGGAAGGACGGAUGAGCUAGGGGGUGGACGGCGAGAGUGAGGAGAACGAAGCACGGUCCGAGUCUUGGAACGGAGCAGAGCUUCGAUUGAAAAUAACUCUGGCCCAGAAAUAAACGUCCUAGAAUCCGAGCUGUUCUAGCACGGCCAGUACCAAAACUCUGAGUUCUCUACUUAUAAACCGGCAGCUUGAAAAAGAUGUCCAAGGGAGCAAAGGUGUCUGUGAUCUUCAAAUAAGGGCAAAGAAAUAAAGGAGGCUUCCAAACUCAAGUCAGAGGCAGGUCAUCGCCGAGCAAGGACCGGCAACGAGACGGGCCCCGGGAUGACCGGAGAGGUGGGCUGACCGGAGAUGACCGGGGGGGGGGGGGGGAGAAGGGAGCUUGGACACGUGAGAAGAGCGGCGGGGAAGAGAAGAGUCUGGCAACUGAAAGAACACGGGCAGAAGGUCCGACAAGGAACGGUAACAAGAAGAAGGGCGGGGAAAAUACAAAGACACUUGGAUGUUG